CGGACCUCCCAUCCUUCAAAUUAAGGACAGUUCAAAUUUGGCCCUUCAACUUUCAAGACUCCUUGUAGCUGGGACCUUGAUCGUGCUUCCAAGUCUUUUUAACCUUUGAAGACUACAUGAAGGUGCCCUUUAUGUUGUUGUUUUGCACUUGUUAUUCACCUUGUACAGAUAUUAUGUAAGAAUUGAGCUCUGUUGUUGCAUUUAACAAAAUUGAUUAAAAAUUUCAUCUAUUUCAAGCAUUAAAACGAACUAUAGAGGUAAAUAUUUCAAUUUUACCCAGGAUGUAUAGCAAGUUCAAAAAAAAAAAAAUCAGAUCAUAGAACUUACUGUGUAGAAAAUUUAAUAUUUCAGGAUGAAUAACAUUACUCAAAAAGUUAAUCUUUCCCUUAUUUACCAAUUGUAUCAACUAUCUGAUUACUCUCAUUUAUGCAGUAAUCCAUACGUGAACACAAAUUUCCAUAUCUGCAAUUUAGUUUAUUCUUUUUUGACAUUGACUUGGAUCAAAUGCAAGUGACUUGAUAAAUUGAUCCACAAUUUAGAUAUCAUUUUAAACUCGUCUGGGUCAAAAUUAACAAUUUUUUAUAAAAAAUUAUCUGUUUUUAUAAAAAAAAAAUAUAUAUUUAUCACGUUCUGAGCUCUUUCUUGAGCUUGACUUGUUUAUCUAAUCUAUAAACACGUUUAAUAGGAAUUUCAUGUGUUAUAAUAGCAACAAAUUCAAACUCAUUAUUCAAAUCUUCCAUAACCUCCUGCAUCAUAUUGGGUUUAGCUUGGUGGGACAGAGAUAAUGUUGGUUAAUUUGUUUCCUUACCUUCUCUUUAUAUUUCCUUUAUAGCAUUUUAUUUUACUUCUUGUGUAUAUAAGGGAGCAUACAAAGCAUUCGUUUGAUUGUUAAAAUGUCACUCAGAUAUUUAUUUUACCUUCAUGUCCAAUCAGCUCCAAUGAUCAUGUCUAAUAUUUUUUUUUCUUUUCUUUUUUAGGUCACACAAUCAUCUCAAGAUAAAAUAAUUGUAUUAAAAAUUUAGAAAUUCAUGGAUAUCCAAAGUGAAUAUGGAAAAGUUUGAAUAUGAAAAAGUGGGAGUAAUGAUAGUUUAAAAUAUAGGUAAGAGAACCAAUUUGAUAAUCAAUCAGGUUUAAGAAAUGAAUCGAAAGGUUAAAUGGAUUGACUUGUAGAUUGAUAUAUUAACUCAAAUUAUGAUUUAAAAAAACAAAAACAACAUCGUUUUGGUAAAAAAGAACUAAAAUCUAACCCGAGUCAAGUUUCAGAUUAUCAAGUCAACUCGUUAAGCCAAACUGAGUAUUAUAAGCAUGGUUUAAAAGCCUUAAAUGAACCCACUUAAACAAAAUAAAUAGGGUUUGCACUUAUAGAGGUGACUUGACAAAGAGAUAUCUUAAAUACAAAACUAUCCUAAAUUCCUUCAUGAUUAAUCUUGGCAACGUUUAACUUAGUGGAACAAAGGUAGUUUUUAUGGCUUGUUCCAAAUUAUAUUGCUUAAUUGUUGCUUGAAUCACAAUUUAAGGAUGCUAGAGGCACUGUCUUUGCUUGCUUACGACAAUUUCCCCAAACAUUAAAUUAUGAUUGGAUAUGACGUUAUCUGCUGUUGUUUUCAUGGCAUGUUUAGACCAAAAACGCCAUUGCUAAUAAAAUGUAGGUUCCAAUCAUUUUUCAACUACGACAAGUUUGUAGCAGAAAAAAAACAACAGAAAAAACUGAAGGAAAAAAACAUGAAAAAUAAAUUAUUGUAAGAAAAUCUAAAUUCCUUAUGUUAAUGGUAGGGAUGGCAAGUGUAACUACAUCCAUGGAGGUCCACCUUCAUUUACUCGAUCGAAAAUUAAGUGUGGAAGGAAGUUCGUUCUUAAGGUGAAGGUAGAGGCGAAUAAAAUACUGGCUUGGUUGGGUGAUCAUGUUUGGAAGUAUGGUUGUGGUUGUUUUUUAAAAUAAUUUUUAUUUAAAAAUGUAUUAAAAUGAUUUAAAAAACAAUUAUUUUUAAUAUCAGCAUAUCAAAAUGAUCAGAAAACAUCAAAAAUAUAUUAAUUUGAAGUAAAAAAAUAAAAAAAUUUAAUUUUUUUCAAAAAUAUUUUUAAAACGAAAAUAUAAACAGGUCUAUCUUUAUACUUGAAUUUACACAUAAAUAUAUUUUAUUUUAUUUUUACAAAUAAAUUUACGAUAGUUUAUGUAUUUCUAAAAUAUUAUUUUAAGUAAUUUUUUAAAUAAAUGUAAAAUAUUUUAUUUUUAAUGAUCCAUGCAUAUUAUUUAAUUGAAAUUUAUCAUAAAAAAUAUAUAUGUACUUGCCCGUCUUUUUUUUUUUUUUUUUUUAGUUUAACGUGGAUGUCCGGGUCAGCUUGCGCGCACCUCGACUAAUCCCACGGGCCCUGAAGUUAACGAUCAUGUAAGCCUCCAGUGGUCAUCAUAUAAGUAACCACAAGACUUGAACCUGAGACCACAGAGAAAGCAAACCUUUUGAUUCCAGGCUUUUACCAUUAGGUCACCAUCUAAAUCAGAGCUGGUGUGGACUGUGGAGUGCUACACUCUCAAAGAAGGAGGGUUGUUUUAUGGUGCUUUAUUGUUCAUUGAAUCACCUUAAUAUAUUUUUUAAAUUAUUUUAUAAUAAAUUAAUGUGUUAAUUAGCGUGUGUGACAACCGAAACGUCAUGAGUUCGAGCGCUGGGGGAGGUGCAUUUAUUUUUUGAAUUGUUAUAAAUGACCCGCUUAUCAUAUUUUUUUCAAAAAAAAUAUAGAGUGAAUGGAUAAAAAGAUAGAACAAGGACAUGUGUGUGUGACUAGCCUGCUGCUGGUGAGCCGGGUGUUGACCGUAGUCGUUCUUUUGUUUUUAUUUCUUUUUAUUUUUUUCAUUUACAUUCUAAAAAAUUUACUAGAUUUAUUUACUUUUUAUUUUUAAUAUGGUUUUUAUUUUUAAAUACUAGUAUAAUUCUUUAUUUGAAUUUUAAUAUUUUUUCUUAAUUGUUAUGUAUUUCAUAUGAAAAUAAUAAUAUUAUAAAUAAUAAAUUGUUUAUUAAAAAUUGAUUGAAAUGAGUUUACAUUAUAAAAAUGUUUAAAUAGAUUUUGAAGAUGAUUUCAUUACAUAUUACAUUUACGAUUUUUUUACAUUUUAAAAAUCAUAAAAUAUUUUUUAAAACAAAAACAAUGGUUUUAAUUAAAACUAUUACAUUGAGGAAGAUAAAUAAAAGACACGUUAAUAGAAAAACUUCUUUUAAAAAAAGGAAAUCCAAAACAAUUGUAUUUUGAAAUUUCAUGAUAAUGUCAAAAAAAAAAUUAUCUAUGUAUUUUUCAUGUUUAAAAAAAUUAAACUUUUCAUAAAUAACAUGAAUAUACAAACUAAUUUAACUUUGUACAAAUAAAAACUGACAUAAAAGUUAAAAACAUUAUUUGAAAGUAUGGUAAAUACUGUUUUUUAAAAUAUUUUUCACUUGAAAAUAUAUCAAAAUAAUAUUUUUUUAUUUUUAAUACUAACACAUAUCAUCAACAAACACUGAAAAAUAUUAAAUUAUUUUUCUUAAAAAUAAAAUAAAAAACAAGGUUUCAUUUCAAUUAUAAACCGAGCCAAAAUAUCUUCAUAGAUGCAAAAACUAGAGGGUGGCUGAGCCUCCUUCGACCUCCAUUGUAAUCCCUACUCAAUGGGUUUUAACUUAAAGGCUCUCUGUCCCCCCUCUCACUCCAGUUUCUCUCUGAAAAAAGGGGCCACCUGAAACAAGCCCAUCUGGGCCAGUCAAAUUUAGCAGACCGCCAGCCAGCCAGGGGAGAAACCCUAACGAAAACCCUUCUUCUUCUUCUUCUUCUUUUCCUGUCAUCAAUCUUUCAGCAUUUUGCUUCCCACUAAAAAUGAACACCAAUAUUAAUAGCAAUAUACCAUUGAGAAAUCUGCUUUCUCUGAUUCAAAAUCGUUUCCUGAAAACAUCAUCUACUACACGACCUCCCAAUGCCUCAACUUCUUUUACUGUUCAAUACCUCGUCAACUCAUGCGGCCUUCCUCUACAAUCUGCUCUUUCCGUCUCCAAAAAGUUCCAAAUCGAUGAGAAUAACCUUCAGAAGCCUCAAUCCGUCAUCCAGUUCUUGAAAUCUUACGAUUUUCAGGAUGCCCACGUUGCCAAAUUGAUCGAAAAGUGGCCUGCUGUCCUCCGUUCCAGAACAGAAGGUAAUCUCAAGCCUAAGUUUGACUUCUUCAUAAAAAAUGGCUUUGUGGGUCAGCUUCUGCCUCAGCUUGCCGUAUUGGAUCCGAGAAUUUUUAGAGCCUCCUUACAUGCUCAUAUCAAGCCAUGUUUUGAGCUUUUGAAACGUUUUCUUGAAAGUAAUGAGAAUAUUUUAGCUGCUCUUAGUCGUGCUCCUUUUUUAAUGUCCUUUAGUUUCAAUGCUACCGUGCGACCAAACCUUGACUUGUUGAAAAAGGAGGGAGUGACCGCUGAUAGGGUUGCAAAACUGCUGUUGUCGCAGCCAAGAUCUUUACAACAUAGUAAUAAUAGGAUGGUUUAUGCUGUCACUUAUCUUAAGCAACUGGGCAUCGAACCAGACAAGACAAUGUAUAUACAUGCUCUUACAGUGAUUGCACGAAUGAAUGAAUCUGCUUGGAGGAAGAAAAUUGAUAUGUUUAAGAGUGUUGGGUGGACCGAAGAGGAGGUUUUAUGGGCUUUUAAGCGAUUCCCUUGUCUAUUAUUAAGUUCAGAGGAGAAAAUCCGGAGCAUGAUGGAUUUCUUUCUGAAUAAGAUGAAGUUGGAACGGCAAACUAUAGUUGCCAAUCCUGCGCUUCUUAAAUACUCUUUUGGCAAUAGGAUUCUUCCGAGGUGCAAUGUUUUGGAGGUUUUGAAGUCAAAGAAGCUGAUUAAAGGAGACACAAACAUUGCUACUUUUCUAAAAUUAAGCGAGAAGGAUUUCAUGGAGAGAUGUGUUGCCAAGUAUGAGAAUAAAGUUCCUGGUUUACUGGAGAUGUAUGGAGGAAUUGACAAAGGAAAAAGAUGAUGGAUAGCAAUGAAGGUAUUGUGUCAACUUGUUUUGAUUUAUAUUUCUCAAUCUAUUACUUGAAUACUGUGAAUUCAUUUUCUUGUGAUUUUACAUAUUCUUUCUGUAAGUCAUCCAUUGGAGUUUGUUUUUACUAGCAUUUGUUCAUGUUGAUGAUCAUUUACCGUGUAAUUCUUAGAAUUUUCUGGGAAAUCUUUAGUAAACACAACUGUCCUGAUAAAAUUAUGUGAUCGUAUAAUUCUUCCAUUGAUUUUCAGAGUAAAACUGAAUGGUCGAGUAUUUUCAUUUUUGGUAGAGAUUUUUGCUUUGGGAAUCUUAAGUUGAGCACUAAAACAUAAGAGCAGCUAUAUAAAACAUGCUCUUUGGUUGGUUCCCUCACUUGCUUAUAAGCUAAAAGGGUUCUGAUGCUUGUGUAAAUAAUUGUUUUUUAAAUUUCAUAUAAUGUUGUUCAAUGAUAGAACACGAUAGGAAAAGGAAAAAAACAAAAACUACCCUAAACUUCUUUAGACCUUGUAGCUUCAAUCCCUAUGAGCUCUGACCCGGAAAUAAGGUUAGGAGUUUGAAUGGCUAUUUUGCUAAGGUUCAAUAUAGAAGAGGGUGUCAGAUAUGAAAGAUUUAGUGUCAUCACCCCUGCAUAUAAAAUACCGGCUAUGGUGUUGACAAACUCAGGAAGGUUGUAUCAAUGGACUCCAACAAUGAGUUUGGUUAGGACUUGGGAGAAGCAUAUUUUAGAUUGUAGCAUGAAUGAAUGCAUGGAUUGCAAAUUGCCAUUUGGUACUAGUUUUUUCAUUAAGCUUGUUGUCGAGAAGCUUAGUAAUCUUAACAAACAUAUAUCAUUUGCAUGGUUGGGAUAUAGGAAUUUGGAUGGUGAAGCUUUCUUGUAAUCAAAGCAUACACUCUACUGGUGUUUUUUGUUGGUUCUUUUGCCAUUAUUUGGCAGAUAAUAAUCAAAUAACAAACCCUUGAUUUACCAAGUUGCGUGAUGGAAAAGAUAAAGAUGUAUAAGAACUAAAAGGGGGAAGACACUAAUUUUGUUUUUCAGUGGCGGUAGAGUAUAACUUCCCACAUGACCUCUUCUUCAUAUCCAUGGUGAAGAUGCACAUGUUUUUUUAACCGUAACAUAUGCUUGUCAUUUCUAAACUUCAAUGGACACAUGCAACAGUUGUUUAAACGUCCAGACUUGACACAGAUUGCAUUCUUAUUUAGAAACAAUGGAACAAGUAUUUCAAUGGCCGUGUUAUAUUUCAGUUGAAAAACGAUCAAUGUUUGCUACGGGGCUAAAUUUACAUUAUCCAUCUAAAUCUAAUAAUGAAGGUGGAGGGCAACCUUUUGUUUUCUAUAGUUACAUGUGCGCAGUGCAUAAUGAAUUGAAGUUGUCAGCAGUGUUUUAAAUCCUAUUUUAGCAGCAAGCAUAUUAUCUUGAGUAAUUGCAAUUUAAUUUCUGACUUAUUUAUACAGUGAUUUUUAAAUUCAUGCUUUUUCCUGAUUCAAAUACCAUAUUAUUCUCCUGAGAAUGUCUUAUCAUUAAAAAGGAUUGGCUCACAUGUGGUUGCAGAUGUUGAAGCCAAAAAACUGAAGCUGUUUUGAGGUCGAACUCUGAUAUCCCACAAUUAAGAGCAAAAACAUGCUGAAAACCUUUCCAGGUGGGCAAAAGGCUUGACAAGCACCAGCGUACGAUUUGCCGGACCUCCCAUCCUUCAAAUUAAGGACAGUUCAAAUUUGGCCCUUCAACUUUCAAGACUCCUUGUAGCUGGGACCUUGAUCGUGCUUCUAAGUCUUUUUAACCUUUGAAGACUGCAUGAAGGUGUCCUUUAUGUUGUUGUUUUGUACUUGUUAUUCACCUUGUACAGAUAUUUUGUAAGAAUUGAGCUCUGUUGUUGCAUUUAACAAAAUUGAUUAAGAAUUUCAUCUAUUUCAAGCAUUAAAACGAAC
rnacentral:lncRNA from 1 species